rnacentral:rRNA from 1 species
UGGAGUAUGUGGUUUAAUUCGAUGCAACGCGAAGAACCUUACCUGGUCUUGACAUCCCGGAGACCCUUAGGAAACUAGGGGGUGCUUCCAUCUGGAAGAAUCUGGAGACAGGUGCUGCAUGGCUGUCGUCAGCUCGUGUCGUGAGAUGUUGGGUUAAGUCCCGCAACGAGCGCAACCCUUGCCUUUAGUUGCCAGCAGUUCGGCUGGGCACUCUAAAGGGACUGCCGGUGUUAAACCGGAGGAAGGUGGGGAUGACGUCAAGUCCUCAUGGCCUUUAUGACCAGGGCUACACACGUACUACAAUGGCCGAUACAAAGGGCAGCGACACUGCGAGGUGAAGCCAAUCCCGUAAAAUCGGUCUCAGUCCGGAUUGGAGUCUGCAACUCGACUCCAUGAAGUUGGAAUCGCUAGUAAUCGUGGAUCAGCAUGCCACGGUGAAUACGUUCCCGGGCCUU